GUGCGCGGCGGGGCCCCUCCUGCAGCCAAGCCCGCGAAUUGGAGGAGCGGCCUGGGGAACUGCGCGUGGACCGCAGCCACCGCUGGGUCGCGCCCAGCACGAACUCCACGGAACGUCGGACUGCUACAGACCCGACCGGCCCGCAGUCUAGUUGGUCCUCCGAUUGCCACCACCCACGCCCGCGGCCAGCCCUGAACAGAUGACAAGCACUAGGACUUGAGUUUUCCUUUGUGUACGGCACUGACCAUGGCGCGGGUGGGGCUCUCGAACUCCACUGGGGAGUGGGCACGUUACAGGUGCCAAUUUUGUUCCGACCCGGGGUUGGGGGUGGGUGGGAGGGAUCUCGGACGCUGCCUUUCUUCCCAUCCCUCCGACAGACCUGGGAGGACAGGUGAAGGGCCCAGGGCCCCCAGCCCGGAUGUGCCUGUAGGGCCUUUUCCCUUUCAGCAGGGACUGAACACAAAGGACCAAGUGACUUCCCUUGGAUCUAUUUGUGUCACCUCCGCAGCACCCCCCCAGGUGAGGCUUGUGGACCCCGGAACCUGAGUGGGGCGGGCCGCUGCCCUCCUCCGAGCUUGGAGGGGGUUGGAGAGGUUAAGAAUUUGCUUAGUAAAUAGCUUGAACACUCCCAUGGUGUCCUGUCCUCUGUCCAGUCACCCCAGUGCCCAGCCCUUCCGCUCACCUACCUACCGCCAAUUCCUUCCCACAGACUCCUGUUGAGAUCUCCCAGGGAAGGCAGCCCUAGACACUGUGAACUUUUCCUGCCACCUGUCACCUCCCCGUCAUGCUUGGACAUGGCUCACAGCGAGCCAGGGAAGUGAGCCAAGUCCCACGUCGAUCUGCGAGGGGCGGGGCAGAGGAUCAGGCUGCGAGGCCACAUGGUGGGUCUGCCCUUAGGGACUUGGGAAGAGGGAGAGCUAAGUGCGGGUGGGUGGCCAGGCUGCUAGGUUCUCCCGGGCAAGGCCCACUGCUCCGCAUGUACCAAAGGGGGACGGUUUCCACCUGCCGUCUGGUGCUCGCCUAGCUCUGAGUACCAUCCUUACAAAGCCAGCGAAGGCCCCCUUCAACAGUGGGGUAGGAAGGAAGGAAUCCCGGACAGGAGCUGCUUCCAGCAGGGUUUGCUGCGGGUCAACAGUGUUGCCAUGGGCAGGAGGGGCCGGUUGCCCAGAGAACCUCGGCUUGGCUCCAGCCCCUUGUCCUGCCUCCUCUGCCAAUCACAGCAUGGCUGUCCAGGGUCUGUGCCCAUUUUAGACUGGUGCCAGCCAUCAGUACCUCUGUGCCAGCCCUACCGGAAGCACCCUGUGUGAUCUGACUACUGGGAGGAGGACUAGAAGCCAGUAGGGUGCAGCUCGCAGGAGGGCAGAGGGUAUUUAUUGUAGUCGCUGAGCUCACUGUUUCCAGCUUUGUCCUAGGCACUUUGAAUGGGUGCAUUUUUACCUCCUGCCCAAAGGCCAACAGCGGAACACAGUAGUAGAUGUGGAUGGAGAGUGCACGGUGCUCCAAGCCGGCAAGCACGGAGGCUCGCCAUCUGCCCCAACUCCGGCCUUCAUCCAGGCCAUAGCUAGUGGCAGGGUCUCCCAAGCCGGACCAGGUUUCUCAUCACAGGCAAGGAGAAACCUUAGGGUACAAGCUCAUGCCCAAUUCUCAAACUCAUGAGAGAGCCAGCAGUUGGGAUUUCCGAGGAGGCUGAGCACUCCAUUGGCCUGAAGCCCAAUGAUAGGAAGAGCUACAGAGGUACACACACACACACACACGCACGCACACGCGCGGGCACACACGCACACAGAGGUCCUCAGCAGGACCUGAACUGCAGCCCCGCCUGGGCCUGUGCAUCCGGGACUAACAAUAGCCCCAGCCUGGAUCAUGGGAUCCCGGAGUCACAACCUGGGCAGGACCAGAAAAAAGACCCUGAUACAUCUGGGGCUGGGUGAGGCAGGGGCCAGGACAUGUAGACAGAAGCUGCCCAGGGAGCCUCAUCCUACACAGUUCCUUUCCAUGAGUAUUCUGCGUUCAGGGCAGCUGCACAGCCUCAAAGCUUUUGCAAAUGGCCAGAGUGGGUAGCCUGAGGGUCCUGGAAAGCAGGCCACCAUCCACCUGACCCAGGCCAGGAAGGGCAGGGACUACCUCCAAAUGGUAGCUACUGGCAUCACAGCAGGUUGGGGGUGAGGAACCAGUCUCCAGCACAGCCAGCCGCACUGCCCUUCCCCAAGGACAGCCCCAUCUACUGCGGUCUCACUUCCAAACCACGCUUUGUACGCUUUUCCCACUCACUUAAACCUGCCCAGGUAACUCCUGACUGCAGACUGCACCUAACACUGCCUCCUCUGGCACUCCAAGUGCCUCCUAGGUGGACCUUCCCUCCCGCUUCCCCGGCACCUGUGUUCCCAGGAAGUGGCUACAGACGGCUCAUGGGAAAAGCUCAUGUGGGAAGAGGGUGGUGGAAGCACAGGACCCACACUUCCCUGGACCUAAGGGACAGCCGUAGAAUACCCAAGCGCUGGCCUCGAGACCAGAGCCAUGAGGAAAACAGA